rnacentral:rRNA from 1 species
GCGCACCAGGCGAGAAACCUUCGCAAUGCGGGAAACCGCGACGAGGGGACUCCCAGUGCCUACGCUCAGCGUAGGCUGUUCCCGAGCCUAGAAAGCUCGGGGAGUAAGGGCUGGGUAAGACGGGUGCCAGCCGCCGCGGUAAUACCCGCAGCCCGAGUGGUGGCCACUAUUAUUGGGCCUAAAGCGUCCGUAGCCGGCCCGGUAAAUGCCUGGGUAAAUCGUGAGGCCUAACCUCACGAAUUCCGGGUAGACUGCCGGGCUAGGGACCGGAGGAGGGAGAGGGGUACUCCAGGGGUAGGGGUGAAAUCCUGUAAUCCCUGGAGGACCACCGGUGGCGAAGGCGCUCUCCUAGGACGGGUCCGACGGUGAGGGACGAAAGCCAGGGGAGCGAACCGGAUUAGAUACCCCUGUAGU